rnacentral:rRNA from 1 species
UACGAAGGGGGCUAGCGUUGUUCGGAAUUACUGGGCGUAAAGGGUGCGUAGGUGGUUAGGUAAGUCCGAUGUGAAAUCUCCAGGCUCAACCUGGAAAUGGCAUUGGAUACUAUUUAGCUUGAGGAGUUGGAGGGGGGGACUGGAAUUCUCGGUGUAGCAGUGAAAAUGCGUAGAUAUCGAGAGGAACACCAGUGGCGAAGGCGAGUCCCUGGACACUUCCUGACACUGAGGCACGAAAAGCUAGGGGGAGCAAACAGG